UACGAAGGGGGCUAGCGUUGCUCGGAAUCACUGGGCGUAAAGGGCGCGUAGGCGGCGUUUUAAGUCGGGGGUGAAAGCCUGUGGCUCAACCACAGAAUGGCCUCGAUACUGGGACGCUUGAGUAUGGUAGAGGUUGGUGGAACUGCGAGUGUAGAGGUGAAAUUCGUAGAUAUUCGCAAGAACACCGGUGGCGAAGGCGGCCAACUGGACCAUUACUGACGCUGAGGCGCGAAAGCUAGGGGAGCAAACAGG
rnacentral:rRNA from 1 species